rnacentral:rRNA from 1 species
GUGCGAACGGUAGCGUAAUCACUUGUCUUUUAAUUGAAGGCCCGUAUGAAAGGCAUCACGAGAGUUUAUCUGUCUUUAUUUCCUAAUCAAUGAAAUUGAUCUCCUCGUGCAGAAGCGAGAAUAAGCACAUAAGACGAGAAGACCCUAUGGAGCUUUAAACACUUAAGUUAUUUUUAAAUAUCAAAAAUUUCCUCACCCUCGGGUAUAAAAUAUAAAAUAACAUCCUAACUUAACUUGUUUUUGGUUGGGGCGACCGAGGGGAAAAACGAAACCCCCUUAUCGAAUGGGUGAGAAUCACUCAAAGCUAGAACUACCGUUCUAAUUAAUAGAAAAUCUAACGAAUAAUGACCCAGGAAAAUCACAUCCUGAUCAAUGAACCAAGUUACCCUAGGGAUAACAGCGCAAUCCUUUCUUAGAGCCCCCAUCGCCGAAAGGGUUUACGACCU